AUGUCCUGGAGAGGGAGUCCACAGCAACAAGACAGGGAUGGGAAUGUCUCAGAAAAAUGGGCUUUCCUCUCUUAAGAUGAAAUAUUACAGGUGCUGCAGAGUGAUUAGUCAAGCCUGUACAAUCUCUGCUGGUGGUGGAAGGACAAUUAAGAACUUUUUGGGUCAUGAUCUUCUUUCCAUUCUGCCCUAAAAAUGCCAGAGCUUGUUAUCCUCUCUGAGACUCAACCUGAGCAUUUGUGCCACAGACUCCCUUGUGCCCCUUCUGAUCAGCCUAACCAGCAGAGAACUGAGUUCCUCACACUUCUCUUUGAGGAGUCCUUGCUGUCCUCCAGCUUUGCUUCACCUCCAUGGAAUUCCCUCUGCCCAUCCCCUGAGCAGAGCAGUCUCUUUAAAUGCCACUGAAGUUGCUGUCAUCACAAAUCAGAGUCACCAGAAAUGCCUUUCAAAGCAAAACUCCAAACUGAGAAGAAAAUACAUGGUUGGGCAGCAAACCCCGACAGGCUGUGUAUUGCAGGGACAGGAGCACAGGGACUGCUCCAGCCUCUCCUCACCCUGGGUCAUCCUGGUCCUGUGCAGGCUCCAAUGGAGCAGGGUGCCCCAGGAGCAUUACAGCAGCUGGAUUGCUUCAAAUAUUUGCACUUCAGGAGGACUUUCUUUACAAAAUAGGUUGUUAAAAACUGGGACAGGCCCAGCGAGAUGGUAGAAUCACCAUCCCUGGAGGUGUUCAAGGAACAGCUGGAAGUGACACUGAAUGCUCUGGUUUAGUUGCCAAAGUGGUCCAAGUUUGGACUUGAUGCCCUUUGAAGACUUUUCCAACCCGUAUGAUUCUGUGAAAUUGAGCAUUCACCUCACAUUUUCUCCCCACUGUUGGCUAUUAGCAAGGUCCUAUAAGAAAAGUAAGAUCAAGGAAAGCACAUAUUUGUCUUUAAUAAUUCUACUUUCCAUACAUUUUCACCCCAGAGGACUCCUUGAACUUGUUGCCAUUUGCCUCAAAUGGGCUUUUCUUCCUAGUUCACAUUCUGGAACAGGCCAGAAGUUGUUUCCUAUUCCCAGUCCUAGACUCCUCCAGGAUUUUGCAGGCUGUGCAGAUGUCCUGAGUGCCUCUGGAGAGGUUUGUCACUGUCCAGCCUUGGCAGCCGCGUGUCCCGGAGGUCCUCACGCCCCAGCAGUUCUCAUGCAGUGACUUCUUCGCAGGCUCUGGCAUGAGUGGGGAUCAGCUGGUGCUCCCCAGUGGUGGCUGAUCAGCUGGUAAAUGGAGAUUUGCUCCAGGAGAAAUGUGCACCUAGCCCAAGGUGAUGCUGCAGCAUGUGUUUGAGUCCCGAGUGAGCCCAGGCUGGACAGUGAGAUUUGGGAAUGGUGAUUUAUAAAAGAGCUGGAAGAAGUGAAGCAGAAAAGA